CCUCGGAGAAAAAGGAAUUCGUGUCCCCUUUGAAACUUUGUGACAGCAGAAGACAGUGGGCCUCCUAAAGGCUACCUGCAGCUGCAAGUCUCAAAGGGUUUUGCGGGCUGGACGUCUCUGUCAGUUCAACAAUGUUAACAUUCUGAGCAACUAUGCCUGUACCACUUAGGAAUGUGGGCUGCUCAGAAAUUUCGAAGAACCCACUGGCGUGACAAAGGGUGUUAAGCCUCUGCCCGCAGUGCCUCGGUAUCCCGUAGGGACUUGUACUUAAAGUCUUAGCUGCUUGCAGUUCCGACCCUGCUCCCUAUUAAUGUGUCUGGGAAAGCAACAGAAAAUGACCUAGUUCCUGGGCCCCUGAAUCGACUAGGGAGAACUGGAGGAAGCACCUGCCUCCAGAGCAUCUCUUGGGGCAAUUUGGACCAGCAGCUGGAAGGUGUUAUAUUAGCUGCUGGGAUAAGGAAUUAAAGCGUGUCUGCUGCCCUUGCCAGCUGUCACAUGCUGCCAAAUGAAUACAAGCCAUUCCAGGAAACUUUUGACCAAAAAAGACAUCCAAAAAGAGGUGAUAGCAGGCAUGGGUGUGGUUGUUAUGACUUUGGACACGUGCAUCCCAUAGAUGUUGUGGAUCAGGACAAGGAGACAGAUAACUACUCCUGAAGAAUGAGACCUGCUCCUCCAGAAGCCAUCUGAAAGGAGAGAUGGAAAGCACAGUCCAUGUGUUCUAGAACUCUGCAAGAAGCUACACGGCUCAGAAGAAAAACAAAUGUGCCUCUCAAGUCAGGGUAAGGAAGCGAAGGUUUGCAGUGUGUUUAGCUGCGCUCAUAGAGAUGCAGUACAGUGUCUUUCAUACUAAGUUUCCUGUCUUUGUCUUAAAAUUGUGGAAGUAAGGAUUCCAUUUAUCAGGUCUAUUUUGUUAUAUUAGGUAGACAGUUCUUUGUAACAUGGAAACAGCUUUAUUCCCCUAACUACUGACAGUAUUCUUCAGUUACUGCUCCUGUAAAAUCAGAAUGUGCUCAGGUCCUUGUCUUCCAAAAGAGAUGUGUGGAAGAAAUUAUUUUGAAUUAUUCUGGGAAGUUUGUGAUGUAGCACAAUAAGUUGAA